rnacentral:rRNA from 1 species
CCAAGCUACUAAGGGCGUGUGGGGGAUGCCUUGGCGCCAGGAGGCGAUGAAGGGCGUGGAAGACUGCGAUAAGCCCGGGGGAUUGGUCAAACACGAGUUGAUCCCGGGAUCCCUGAAUUAUCUUUAUGUGAAUCCAAUAGCAUGAAGAAGCGAACGGGGGGAACUGAAACAUCUCAGUACCCCUAGGAAAAGAAAGCAACAGCGACUCCGUCAGUAGCGGCGAGCGAACGCGGAAUAGCCCAAACCAGAGGGACUUGUCUUUCUGGGGUUGUAGGGCCGGUGUUUAGAAAGCGAUUACCUUAACAGAAAGCUUCUGGAAAGAGCUGCCAUAGCGGGUGAUAGCCCCGUAUGUGACAAGGGAAAGCUGACGAUCCGGUACCUGAGUAGGACUCGACACGUGGAAGCGAGUCUGAAUCUGCGAGGCCCAUCUCGCAAGGCUAAGUACUCCCUGGCGACCGAUAGCGCACCAGUAGCGCGAGCGAAAGGUGGGAAGAACCCCGACAAGGGGAGGAUAGUGAACCUGAAACCACAUGCCUACAAGCGGUCAGAGCUCGUUUAGAUAGCUGUCAGCUAUCAGCUUUCAGCUCUCAGCCAGAAAUGGCCGAGGGUUGAUGCCGAUGCUGGCGAUUAGAACUCAGCAACCAUCAGCGUCAGUCAGGCAUUUGCUUGGCUGAUAGCUGAUAGCUGAUAGCUGACAGCUAUCGAAGAGUGAUGGCGUGCCUUUUGCAUAAUGAUCCGGCGACUUACCGUCAUGGGCAAGGUUAAGCGGCUUUGCCGUGCAGCCGAAGCGAAAGCGAGUCUGAUAAGGGCGUCAAGUCCAGGGCGGUAGACGCGAAACCACGUGAACUACGCAUGGUCAGGUUGAAGGAAGGGUAACACCUUCUGGAGGACCGAACUCACUAGUGUUGAAAAACUAGGGGAUGAACUGUGUGGAGGAUUGAAAGUAUCAUCAAACGUGGAGAUAGCUCGUUCUCUCCGAAAUAACUUUAGGGUUACCGUCGCCAAGUGAUUCAUGGGGGUAGAGCGACUGAAUUCGAUAGGGGGCCUACCCGGCUACCCUUCGAAACCAAACUCCGAAUACCAUGACUCAGCAACGGCAGAUAGACUGUGGGGGAUAAGCUUCAUAGUCGAGAGGGGAACAACCCAGAUCGCCUGCUAAGGUCCCCAAAAUAUGCUCAGUGCGAAAGGAAGUUGGAGUCCUGAGACAGCCAGGAUGUUGGCUUAGAAGCAGCCAUCAUUUAAAAAGUGCGUAAUAGCUUACUGGUCGAGGAUUCCUGCGCCGAUAAUGAACGGGACUUAAGCGUGUUACCGAAGCAGCGGGUUUGUUAGCAAUAACAAGCGGUAGGAGAGCGUUGCAUACGCCUGUGAAGGGGUACGGAUAACGAACCCUGGAGGUACUGCAAGUGAUCAUGCCGGAACGAGUAACGAUAAAACGGGUGAGAAUCCCGUUCGCCGAAAGCCUAAGGUUUCCUGGGGAAGGUAAAUCCGCCCAGGGUUAGUCGGAUCCUAACACGAGGCCGAAAGGCGUAGUGGAUGGACAGCAGGUUAAUAUUCCCGCACCACGGCUGAAGGUUGAUAGCAUCAGGACGCUUUCUGGAAAGUGAUCGGGGUGACAGAAUACCCCGUGCCGCAAGGCCGAGGACGUUUACGAUUCCGAAGUCAUUGGAAGGAGAGCCAAGAAAAGCCGAUGCUGGACGACAGCCGUGUCCGUACUAAAACUGACACAGGUAGGCGAGAUGAGUAUUCUUAGGCGCUCGAGAGAACGCUCGUGAAGGAACUCUGCAACAUGGCUCCGUAACUUCGGGAUAAGGAGCGCCCUUGAGGGUGUUAAAGCCUUCGGGGGCCGCAGUGAAAAGGUUCUAGCGACUGUUUACUAAAAACACAGGUCUGUGCCAACGCGUAAGCGGAAGUAUACAGACUGACGCCUGCCCGGUGCCGGUAAGUUAAGGAAGAGGGUUAGCCCCUUAAAAGGUGAAGCUCGCAACCGAAGCUCCGGUAAACGGCGGCCGUAACUAUGACGGUCCUAAGGUAGCGAAGUUCCUUGUCGGGUAAGUUCCGACCUGCAUGAAUGGCGUAACGACUGGAACACUGUCUCCACGAGCGACUCGGUGAAACUGUAGUUGUCGUGAAGAUGCGACAUACCAGAUCGGAAGAGCACACGUCUGAACUCCAGUCACUGACGAAUCUCGCAUGCCGUCUUCUGCUUGAAAAAAAAGUAGCACAGUUAGGAGAUUUUGCAUGGCCCAACUGAUGAGA